rnacentral:rRNA from 1 species
AAUAGAUACCCAGGUAGUCCACGCCGUAAACGAUGAUAACUAGCUGUCCGGGCUCAUGGAGCUUGGGUGGCGCAGCUAACGCAUUAAGUUAUCCGCCUGGGGAGUACGGUCGCAAGAUUAAAACUCAAAGGAAUUGACGGGGGCCUGCACAAGCGGUGGAGCAUGUGGUUUAAUUCGAAGCAACGCGCAGAACCUUACCAGCCUUUGACAUCCCGGUCGCGGUUAGAGGAGACUCUUUCCUUCAGUUCGGCUGGACCGGUGACAGGUGCUGCAUGGCUGUCGUCAGCUUGUGUCGUGAGAUGUUGGGUUAAGUCCCGCAACGAGCGCAACCCUCGUCCUUAGUUGCCAUCAUUUAGUUGGGCACUCUAAGGAAACCGCCGGUGAUAAGCCGGAGGAAGGUGGGGAUGACGUCAAGUCCUCAUGGCCCUUACAGGCUGGGCUACACACGUGCUACAAUGGCGGUGACAGUGGGCAGCAAACCCGCGAGGGUGAGCUAAUCUCCAAAAGCCGUCUCAGUUCGGAUUGUUCUC